GGAUGAUGGAAGGAAAGAGCUUCUUCAGAGGGAGCUGAGGAAAAAGGAAAGCACAUGAGUGGCGUGUCCAGGAAGGCCUGGCUGCUUUGGCCAGACCCCUGGAGCAGCUAUUGCAAUGGUACAGAUUUGUAGCACAAUCUUUCCAAGAUGACAGCAAAGAAAAUGAUUUUUUAAACAGUGACCAAGAAAAGAAGAUUGAAAGCAAACAACUUACAGAA